CUCAACUCCAAGAAAAAGCUUUAUUCUUUCUUACAUUUACAGUAUUUGAAUAUUCAAUUGAGAGAGAGAAAAGUAAAGUAUUUUCUGGCUCUGCAUUUGUUGUGGAAGCCAUGAUGGCAUGUCCACAGUAAAGCACUUCAUUUGCUUAUUCUGAACUAUUUUUUUGUGCCCUCUUUUUCUUUCAAGACAAUCAAAUGCUCCUUUUCUCCUUUAUGAACUGUACCUCAACUCCUUUACUCUCUUGGGGCAACCAGCUGCCUCCUUUCUCUCACUUGCAGGCAUGACAGACUCACUGGUUCUCUUCUUGUUCUUUCGUGAAAUAUGAUGCCUGUUGAGGUGCCAUCACUUUCAUGUUAUGUGACCAGUGCUCCAGAAUCUAUUUCAUUGUAGAGUGUUACAUUAUCCAUUGAUGGUACAGUAGAACAAGCUUUGCUAAACUGAGAAAGCAGACAAUAGAAAUCCACAUAUCAGAACUAAGAUGUCCUUAUAAGCUGCAUUUAGGUUUUCGAAAGAACGGCAAGGAAUCACUCAAGGAAGGAAUUCUCUUGAUAGAAUUUUCAUUCAUUGCCUUUUCCUUGGUUUUUCGAAGUUGCAGUUUUGCUUGAACAAUUUCAAACAUGCAGAUGGUUGAGGGUAGGGUUCAUACUCAUUUGAGAGCUAAUGCCAGAUUUGUCAUAUAGUAACCUACAUAUAUGAUUUUAUUUUGUUGAAAUGCAUUCAAUUAUCCUGAUAUGAAUUCAUACUAAUUCAGGAACAAAUAAUAUAUAAGCUUUUUUUUUGUUCUUUUUCUUUAGCUUUAAGCUUUCAUCACAGUUAAGUCUAUUGACUGAUAUUAGCCUGCAUAAUGCAGCUUCGUUUUAGUAGCAUUUAGAAAGAAGUAUUGUUACCUUUGAAUGAAGCAACAUAGCUAGAGAGAAGGAAAAGAAAGGGAUUAAAUUAUGUUUAAUAUGCAUUAAAAGAUCUUUGUGAAAUUAGUAAAUUAAACAGAUCUUAUGUCUUAACUCUUUUGUUGAGCCUGCAUUUUGAUUCCUCCUUGUGUCUAAUUUUUAAGGCACAUCCCACCCUUUCCCUUCUUUCAAGUCCUUGUCAUCUAAAACAGGAGGGAUGUUUUGCCAUUGUGGAUCACCAAACAAAUAUAAGAGGCUGGAUGAAUAUACUAAUCAUGUGGUUUCCUCAGUUUAAUGAAGAACUGAAACACAUCAGAGGGGUAUUUGAACAGUAUGGUGAGUUUAAACAAGGUUGCUUUUCUGUUCCAUGAGAUGCAAUGGUGGACUUUUUCUGCAUAUUGACUCUAUAUCCUCCUCAUAGAUGAAGAUGUAAAUGGAUCUAUUGACCUUGAGGAACUCAAAAAAUGCUUACAAAAGCUGACACUCACUUUAAAAGAGGAAGUUGAGGAUCUUUUCCACUCCUGCGACAUUGACAAUUCAACGAGUUCAAUGUUCUUAGAAGUCAUCAAUCUCCUAGUAGAACAUUCAUCCUCUCCUCCCAAGAGCAUCCACCUUAAACUUGACUUUAUCUUCAUUCAUAUGUUUGACUUAAAGACGUCAACUUAUUGUGAUCACCCAUAUAUGAUGGCCUGAGGGUUUUGUUUCAGACAUCAAAGAUGGGUUCACCAGAGCUUCAGGCCACUUUCGAUACAAUUGUAGAAGCUUUCUUAUUCUUGGAUAAGAAUGGUAAUGGGAAGCUGUUAAAAGAAAGACAUGAUCAAAGCAUUCAAAGAGGAUUCUCCUUGGGAAAAAUCCCCAGCACACAUCACCGGAUCCAGAAUUAGUUCUAUCUCUUUCACAUGAUAUAUUUCUACUUUUGACUUGUAGUUCCAGUUGUUUUAAAAUCCUUAAACCAUCCUCUUGGAGAUUCCUGUGAAUAUAUGCAGAAGAAAUGGACUGGGACAGGAAUGGGAAGGUCAGUUUCAGGGAGUUCCUCUCUUCUUUAAUCAACUGGAUUAGGAUUGAUGCUGACGAAAGAAAUUCCUGAGAAGGGAAGUCAAACCAGGCACAAGCAUUGAGCUGGAUAACUGUCGAAUAUGAGGUCAGAUUGAAGCAUUUAUGUGCAAAAAUAAAUCAUCCAAGUGUAUUAUUCAAAGCUGUCGCUCCUCUGCCAUGCUCAAUUGUGCAUGUAUUAUUUGUGGUGACAGUUAACGUUUCAUAUGCUCAAUGAAUCACCCUGAUAAAUUAAGGGUUCAUUGCUUUCU